GUCAGGGGCUGGUAGGUCCUAAGGGGCUAGGUCCCGAAGGGGCUGUUCGGGGUGCCGCCAUGACAGGCUUGGCCGGAAGGAGAGGCAGGGCGCCGCCAUGACAGAGAGGAAUAUGAAAGGGCUGGGGCGCCGGCCGGCCCUGCCACGCCUGACUGAGACCGGAA